ACGGAAGGCAGCAGCAAGGAAUAUUAGGCAAUGGGGGAAACCCUGACCUAGCAACGCCGCGUGAAGGAAGAAGGUCUUCGGAUUGUAAACUUCUUUUAUGUAGGACGAAGAAAGUGACGGUACUACAUGAAUAAGCCACGGCUAACUACGUGCCAGCAGCCGCGGUAAUACGUAGGUGGCAAGCGUUAUCCGGAUUUACUGGGUGUAAAGGGCGCGUAGGCGGGGAUGCAAGUCAGAUGUGAAAUCCAUGGGCUCAACCCAUGAACUGCAUUUGAAACUGUAUCUCUUGAGUGCUGGAGAGGUAGAUGGAAUUCCUAGUGUAGCGGUGAAAUGCGUAGAUAUUAGGAAGAACACCAGUGGCGAAGGCGAUCUACUGGACAGUAACUGACGCUGAGGCGCGAAAGCGUGGGGAGCAAACAGGAUUAGAUACCCUGGUA
rnacentral:rRNA from 1 species